rnacentral:lncRNA from 1 species
UCAAGGCAGGACACUGGAAGCCAUGGGGUGGGGGUGGGGAUGGGGUCUGCUGCUUACCAGCUUGCUUUCCAUGGUCUGCUCAGCCUGCUUUUUUUCUAGCACCUACAGUGAGCUGGACCCUCCUGUAUCAGUCACUAAUUAAGAAAAUGUACCAUAGGCCUGCCUACAGGCCAUUCUGGUGAAGCCAUUUUCUUGAUGGUGGGUCUGUCUUUCCAAAUGUCUCUAGCUUAUGGGCAAGGUAACACAAAACUAGCCAGCACAGGUAGAGAUUAAUCAUUCAGAAUCUCUGUUACCAACUUUCCAGCUAUACUGUGAAAAAUGCUUUAACUAAAAACCUAAUAUGUACACUACAGAGUUAAAGAGGCAAUAAGCCAAGGGCAAAGAGUUCAUUCUUUUCCUUUGAUUCUGCGGACCAAACCCAGAGCCUUGUGAUUGGCAGGAAAGCACUUGACCACCGAGACAUGUCAUCUGCUAGUCUCUUCCCUUCUGUCUUGCCUGUUCUUUGCUGCCUUUUCAAGCAUCUACUGAAAAAAAAAAAGUGGCCCACUGACAUUUCUAAAGAUCCAAAUAAAUGAGGUUUGACGGUAGGCACUUGGGAAUGGCAAAGACUAUGCCAAACAGUGUGGGCAUUGUUAAGAGUAGAGACCCAUCUUUUCGUUUCCCUUUCAGUUUUAUGGCUAUUAUAUUCAUCAAACAAAACCCCUAUGCAGAAUGUUCAUAUCCAAAGACAAAUGUAAGAACCGCCUCUCGGUGACACAGUCAGAUUCCUGGGUGUGGAUGGAUAUCAUUUUUCCUAGGUGGGUUUUUAUUUGGAGUAAGUAAAAUAGCUGAUGAGGAGUGAGUAAAAUAGCCCUUGCUUUUGUAUACUACGCUGUCACUUACAAAGCACCCCAAAACUAUCUAAAAAGGGUUAUCUUGAAACAAAACCCAGAAAAAAGUCAAAUGAGAAAAGUUAUUCCCCACCACACGGUGCACUCUCCUCUCCAAAAAUACUUGCGUGCUGUUGUCAAAAGGUAAGCCAUGAAGAUUCUUUUCUUCCUUUCCAGCAAUCUUGGCAUGUGAUGCAGAACCAUCCCACUUGAGAAGGCCUUUCAGUUGCAGGCAGGGAGGUUACAGAUGGAGCAAAGAGAGGGAUCCAGCUCUGAGAUGUGACAUUCAGAGGCACGGUAAAUGACAGGAGCCGCCCAGGGAUGCCCUGUUUCAAGGAGAUCAGCAUUGCAAAUGUGGACGGAGGGCGUUUGUUGUAGACUUGCCUGACUCUUCCAGCUUCAGGUGCCAAAACACACGGUGUCCACUGUCAUCUGAUCCUGGGUUGGAUGCAUGCUUUUAAUCAUGAGCCAUCUGGAACCCAGGCAACACAACUCCCCUUCAGCUAUCUGAGGACCUGCCUGAAUCCUCCUACUGCCCUGGUCAUUCCUGCCUCCUUCAGCUGAGCUACCUGGAUGUCUGCUCCUGCAGUACUGAGAUAAAGAGGGCAUACAUCUUGGUCACCAAACAUUCAUUUGACCCUGUCAUUCCCUGAAUGUUGGAUUGGAAAACAAUUUCUAUUUCAAGAGAACAAGAUAAUCAAAAGAUAAUUCUUGAGGGCCAUUGCAAUACUGGAAAUCCAAGAGUUUAGAAAUGAAGCCACCGUGAAGAAGGCCACACAUCACAGUGCACAGUGUUGGUAUAUGACUUUGCUGGUGACACCCAAGCCCUAAACAGAGCAAAAUAAACUCCAGAGGUUAAGAGCAAGAUGCUCUCAAGAUUCAGUUUACCUGUUGAACCAGUCAUCUGUGUAUCGAGGGUAUGGAUAGGGGUCAUUGCUGCUGAAGUCAUAACUCGCAUCAGCGUUCUGAAAGACACAAGGUAUCUCAGGUCAGUAAAGCUGCAAACGUGUAAGGCGGGCUGAUGCUCUGAACAUACCAUCCUAUCUCCUCUCGGGAGGGGGUGCUAGUGCUCUGCAUUACUGCAUUUUGCACAUGUUUUUAUUUAUAAUAAUUGCAUAUUACAAGGACAGGCAUUUGCAAAAUUGUGACAGAGCUAGGGGGUCUCCCUAUUUCAAGCCUUAAAAGGCUUGACGAAUGGAACCCUGUGUUCUUCAGGUCUAGCUUCAUUUUAAGUUGGGGUGACUCUGUGUGUUAGGAAGCUUCACUUAGAAUCCCAGGCUUAGCCUAAGCGUCUUUGAUACGUUUGCUCACUGGUGGCCAGACUGCUUUAUUUCUUGGAUCACGCGUGAGGCAGUGUUUAGUGUUUAAGUCCUGCUUUCUGCUGAAGGCUCCUUUUCAUAAGGCGACUUCAGAACUGGCUCAUGUAAGUCUCAUCUCCUUUCCUCUCAAUGUGCUAACCUUUUUCUUGUCCCCCACAGUGAGCACAGUCAAUCUUGUUUAUUGUCUUUCUAACGACCAUGAAUAGUUCAAUGUAUGUCAGAGACAUAGAUAAGGAUGACAACUCGGUGCUGUCAUCCCUGCCCUUAUGCCUCUUAGAGCCUAGUUGGAGGAACAAACAUCCAUCGACUGGAUGUUGUUGAACAACUAAACAUGUAAUUGUACAUUUUCAUAGUCAUGUGCUCUUGUACCCUAUGAGAGUUAGGGGUGUGAAAUUCUGUCUUCCUGUAACUUCUCUUUUCCACUGUGAGACGUUUGCCACAUCAACUAAUCCAGACUCUAUUCAGUCAUUUCUACGUGAUUUUAUACUGUUCUUAGGUUUCUAUUUAGUUUGUUUUUGCUCUUGGCCUAUGCUGAAAGAUGCCUACUCUUACUGAGUGAAUAAUCUAGGCCUUCCCCAUUGCCUUCCCUGCCUUCCCAGGAAGGCUGGUCUGUGGAAAUUCUUUUCUCUAUUGUUUCUUCUUUGUUGAGUUUUGUAAGGAAAACUCCAGAAGGCUUCUUGAUUCACACUUGGUUAGGAAAGAGAUCUUCCUUCCAUCUUCAGUGUUUCCUUGAUUCCAUAGUCCUGAGACAUUUUAAGAGCUUUUAUGUGCUCCUUUAUGAGGUAAAAAUACUUUGGUAUGUGACACACUCUAACUUGAAAAGCUAAUGUCUCCUUGUUGUCAUGCUUUGGGCAGGAUAUUGACUAAUUCCAGUUAUUUUUAUUUGACUUGUUGGGUGACAAAGAGAUGCUAACCACCACUGUUUGUAGUGAUCUGAACUGUAGUAUAGGUUGAGCACCCAGAAUCUCCAACUGUGAAAUAUGUAAUUCCAACAUAGGAAACUAUUUGCAACCUGGGGAGAUGUCAGAAGUAGAAGUAAAUUCCACAUCUUACCUUGUGCUUAGUAUAGAUAUACUAUGAAUAUUAUAUCAAAAUAUCUUACGAUAAAAUUUCAAGGUAUGUAUAAAACUUAAGUGAUUUACUUGCGUACACUUGGGUCCCAUCCCCCAAAUAUCUCAUAUGUAUGUAACUAUUCUUAAGUAAAAAAUUAUCAAUCCC